GAUGAACGCUGGCGGCGUGCCUAAUACAUGCAAGUCGAGCGAACAGACGAGGAGCUUGCUCCUCUGACGUUAGCGGCGGACGGGUGAGUAACACGUGGAUAACCUACCUAUAAGACUGGGAUAACUUCGGGAAACCGGAGCUAAUACCGGAUAAUAUAUUGAACCGCAUGGUUCAAUAGUGAAAGACGGUUUUGCUGUCACUUAUAGAUGGAUCCGCGCCGCAUUAGCUAGUUGGUAAGGUAACGGCUUACCAAGGCGACGAUGCGUAGCCGACCUGAGAGGGUGUUUGCCCACACUAGAACAGUGCCACGCUCGAGCCACCUGCGGGAGUCCGAGCUAGGGAUGCUCCCCUAAGGGCGGAAUUCCUGAGGGACCACCCCCGAGGAAUUAAUGAGGGUCUCCGAACCUGAAACCUUGUUUUUGGGGAAAAAACAUAUGUUUAAUUACCUGUGCGUCUCGGCCCGGUUCCUAUACGAAAACCCCCGUCUACCUAGUUG
rnacentral:rRNA from 1 species